AGCUUUGCGCAGUGGCAAUAUCAUAACCAAUGAGGGUCUCCCGAGGUGUGA
rnacentral:snRNA from 1 species